rnacentral:rRNA from 1 species
ACUAACAAGGAUUCCCCUAGUAACUGCGAGUGAAGCGGGAAAAGCUCAAAUUUAAAAUCUGGUGGCCUUUGGCCUCCGAGUUGUAAUUUAGAGAAGCGUCUUCCGCGCUGGACCAUGCACAAGUCUCCUGGAAUGGAGCGUCAUAGAGGGUGAGAAUCCCGUCUUUGGCAUGGACACACCAGGGCUUUUGUGAUGCGCUCUCGAAGAGUCGAGUUGUUUGGGAAUGCAGCUCAAAAUGGGUGGUGAACUCCAUCUAAAGCUAAAUAUUGGCGAGAGACCGAUAGCGAACAAGUACCGUGAGGGAAAGAUGAAAAGCACUUUGGAAAGAGAGUGAAACAGUACGUGAAAUUGUUGAAAGGGAAACGCUUGAAGUCAGUCGCGUCGACCGAGACUCAGCCUUGCCUCGGCUUGGUGUACUUCUCGGCUUGACGGGUCAGCAUCAAUUUUGCCCCUUGGAUAAUGGUGAGGGAAAUGUGACACCUUUACGGUGUGUUAUAGUCUCUCGUCGCAUGCAAGGGUUGGGAUUGAGGAACUCAGCACGCACCUCCGGGUGUCGGGGCUUUGCCUACGAUACGUGCUUAGGAUGUUGGCGUAAUGGCUUUAAACGACCCGUCUUGAAACACGGACCAAGGAGUCUAACAUGCCUGCGAGUGUUCGGGUGGAAAACCCGUGCGCGCAAUGAAAGUGAAAGUUGGGACCUCUGUCGUGGAGGGCACCGACGCCCGGACCAGACCUUCUGUGACGGCUCUGCGGUAAAGCAUGUAUGUUAGGACCCGAAAGAUGGUGAACUAUGCCUGAAUAGGGUGAAGCCNGAGGAAACUCUGGUGGAGGCUCGUAGCGAUUCUGACGUGCAAAUCGAUCGUCAAAUUUGGGUAUAGGGGCGAAAGACUAAUCGAACCAU